ensembl:miRNA
UGUGGCCUGGUGCAGUGGCGGCAGCUGGUGUUGUGAAUCAGGCCGUCGCCAAUCAAAGACCGGCUACUUCACAACACCAGGGUCGCCUUGUAC